UUCUUGUUGGCUCCUCCACCACCUGGGUCAGAAAGUUAUCAUCGAUGUUCUUCAGGAACCUCCUGGACUGUGCGCACCUUGCCGUGUGGUCCUUCCACACGUGUGACCUCA